GGACUUGAAUCUUUCCCAGGCCUGCUGCCUGGUGCUGGUCUGGGAACAGAAAGUGCUAUACUGAGCAGAGGCUAUCCAGAUGAGUUGUUUCCCAUUUGUCUUGGACCUGUCUCUACAGCUCUGCCACAUUG
ensembl:snoRNA